rnacentral:rRNA from 1 species
UACAGAGGGUGCAAGCGUUAAUCGGAAUUACUGGGCGUAAAGCGUGCGUAGGCGGUUUGUCGCGUCGAAUGUGAAAACCCGGGGCUCAACUCCGGGCCUGCAUUCGAUACGGGCAGACUAGAGUUCGGUAGGGGAGACUGGAAUUCCUGGUGUAGCGGUGAAAUGCGCAGAUAUCAGGAGGAACACCGGUGGCGAAGGCGGGUCUCGUGGGGCCGUAACUGGACGCUGAGGAGCGAAAGCAUGGGGGAGCGA